UAUUAGUGACAUUGCUAAUAUCAAUGUUGAACCCUGCCACGGCUCUAUGCGGAGCUGCCUGUGUGAGCCUCUUU
rnacentral:rRNA from 1 species